UACGUAGGGUGCAAGCGUUAAUCGGAAUUACUGGGCGUAAAGCGUGCGCAGGCGGUUUUGUAAGUCUGUCGUGAAAUCCCCGGGCUCAACCUGGGAAUUGCGAUGGAGACUGCAAGGCUAGAAUCUGGCAGAGGGGGGUAGAAUUCCACGUGUAGCAGUGAAAUGCGUAGAGAUGUGGAGGAACACCGAUGGCGAAGGCAGCCCCCUGGGUCAAGAUUGACGCUCAUGCACGAAAGCGUGGGGGAGCAAACA
rnacentral:rRNA from 1 species